rnacentral:tRNA from 1 species
GCGGGCGUGGCGGAAUUGGCAGACGCACCAGGUUUAGGUCCUGACGGGGAAACCUGUGGGAGUUCGAGUCUCCCCGCCCGCACCA